rnacentral:hammerhead_ribozyme from 1 species
UUAGGUGGUUACCCACAGCUGAUGAGCCCCAAGAAGAGCGAAAUCAGUUACAUCCUCUAGUACUGGCCUAAUAAACA